GGGGUCGACUGGUUUUGACAGCGAGUGGCAUUGAUUAGUAAGCAUGUCGAGCAUUGUAUUUUUGGCUCGUAAAUAUCAAGGAUACGAACUUAUAAACGGCGAAAAUAAUUACGCUUUAGCUGCAUAAUCUGAAUCAUAGUAAGAUACGCCUAGUCUCGUCAAGGACGAGAAGCUAGAUUCUCCUCAAAAGCCUUGGUUUAUGGCGUUUGGAUUAGGGGAACCGUAAAAGUAAACCUAGGAAAGGUAAAGCUUUAAAUCCUUUCUGACACUAAUAAAGCUAAGUUAGGAGUGGCGGUUUUGGGCCAAGCUUCUAAUCGAAAAUCCAAUCCAAAACUAAACAUGUAGAAAGCUCUUUGAUGGCUUGUUUGGACGAGGGUUCGAAUCCCUCCGACUCCACUA
rfam:Flavobacterium indicum GPTSA100-9 complete genome